rnacentral:rRNA from 1 species
UGGGGAAUAUUGGACAAUGGGGGCCACCCUGAUCCAGCCAUGCCGCGUGAUUGAUGAAGGCCUUAGGGUUGUAAAGCUCUUUCGCCGGUGAAGAUAAGGACGGUAACCGGUAAAGAAGCCCCGGCUAACAUCGUGCCAGCAGCCGCGGAAAUACGAAGGGGGCUAGCGUUGUUCGGAAUUACUGGGCGUAAAGCGCGCGUAGGCGGACUAUUAAGACAGGGGUGAAAUCCCGGGGCUCAACCUCGGAAUUGCCUUUGAUACUGGUAGUCUAGAGUCCGUGAGAGGUGAGUGGAACUCCGGGUGUAGAGGUGAAAUUCGUAGAUAUUCGGAAGAACACCAGUGGCGAAGGCGGCUCACUGGCACGGUACUGACGCUGAGGUGCGAAAGCGUGGGGAGCAAACAGGAUUAGAUACCCCCGUAGUCC